UACGUAGGGGGCAAGCGUUGUCCGGAAUCAUUGGGCGUAAAGAGCGUGUAGGCGGUUCGGUAAGUCGGCUGUGAAAGUCCAGGGCUCAACCCUGGGAUGCCGGUCGAUACUGCCGGACUAGAGUUCGGAAGAGGCGAGUGGAAUUCCCGGUGUAGCGGUGAAAUGCGCAGAUAUCGUAAGGAAGACCAGUGGCGAAGGCGGGUCUCUGGACAGUUCCUGACGCUGAGGCACGAAGGUCAGGGGAGCAAACGGG
rnacentral:rRNA from 1 species